rnacentral:misc_RNA from 1 species
GAUGAAGAACGUAGUGAAAUGCGAUAAGUAGUGUGAAUUGCAGAAUUCGGUGAAUCAUCGAAUCUUUGAACGCACAUUGCGCCCCUUGGUAUUCCAUGGGGCAUGCCUGUUCGAGCGUCAUUUGUACCUUCAAGCUCUGCUUGGUGUUGGGUGUUUGUCUCGCCUCUGCGUGUAGACUCGCCUCAAAAUAAUUGGCAGCCGGCGUAUUGAUUUCGGAGCGCAGUACAUCUCGCGCUUUGCACUCAUAACGACGACGUCCAAAAGUACAUUUUUACACUCUUGACCUCGGAUCAGGUAGGGAUACCCGCUGAACUUAAGCAUAUCAAUAAGCGGAGGA